rnacentral:rRNA from 1 species
GACGAACGCUGGCGGCGUGCUUAACACAUGCAAGUCGAACGGAAAGGCCCUGCUUUUGUGGGGUGCUCGAGUGGCGAACGGGUGAGUAACACGUGAGUAACCUGCCCUUGACUUUGGGAUAACUUCAGGAAACUGGGGCUAAUACCGGAUAGGAGCUCCUGCUGCAUGGUGGGGGUUGGAAAGUUUCGGCGGUUGGGGAUGGACUCGCAGCUUAUCAGCUUGUUGGUGGGGUAGUGGCUUACCAAGGCUUUGACGGGUAGCCGGCCUGAGAGGGUGACCGGCCACAUUGGGACUGAGAUACGGCCCAGACUCCUACGGGAGGCAGCAGUGGGGAAUAUUGCACAAUGGGCGGAAGCCUGAUGCAGCAACGCCGCGUGCGGGAUGACGGCCUUCGGGUUGUAAACCGCUUUCGCCUGUGACGAAGCGUGAGUGACGGUAAUGGGUAAAGAAGCACCGGCUAACUACGUG